rnacentral:rRNA from 1 species
UACGUAGGUGGCAAGCGUUUGUCCCGGAUUUACUGGGCGUAAAGGGCGUGCAGGCGGUCUGUUAAGUGCAGGGUGAAAGCUCCCCGGCUCAACUGGGAGAGGUCCUUGCAUACUGGCGGACUUGAGGGGGGGUAGAGGAAAGUGGAAUUCCCGGUGUAGUGGUGAUAUGCGUAGAUAUCGGGAGGACACCUGUGGCGAAGGCGGCUUCUGGGCCCUACCUGACGCUGAGACGCGAAAGCGUGGGGAGCGAACCGG